rnacentral:rRNA from 1 species
UACGUAGGAGGCAAGCGUUAUCCGGAAUGACUGGGCGUAAAGGGUGCGUAGGUGGUUUGACAAGUUGGUAGCGUAACUCCGGGGCUCAACCUCGGAUCUACUACCAAAACUGUUGGGCUUGAGUGCAGGAGGGGUGAAUGGAAUUCCUAGUGUAGCGGUGGAAUGCGUAGAUAUUAGGAGGAACACCAGCGGCGAAGGCGAUUCACUGGACUGUAACUGACACUGAGGCACGAAAGCGUGGGGAGCAAACA